rnacentral:rRNA from 1 species
GAUGAACGCUGGCGGCGUGCUUAACACAUGCAAGUCGAACGAAGCAUUUAGAACAGAUUAUUUCGGUAUGAAGUUCUUUAUGACUGAGUGGCGGACGGGUGAGUAACGCGUGGGUAACCUGCCUUGUACUGGGGGAUAGCAGCUGGAAACGGCUGGUAAUACCGCAUAAGCGCACAAUGUUGCAUGACAUGGUGUGAAAAACUCCGGUGGUAUAAGAUGGACCCGCGUCUGAUCAGCGAGUUAGUGAGAUAACAGCCCACCAAGGCGACGAUCAGUAGCCGACCUGAGAGGGUGACCGGACACAUUGGGACUGAGACACGGCCCAGACUCCUACGGGAGGCAGCAGUGGGGAAUAUUGCACAAUGGAGGAAACUAUGAUGCAGCGACGCCGCGUGAGUGAAGAAGUAAUUCGUUAUGUAAAGCUCUAUCAGCAGGGAAGAUAGUGACGGUACCUGACUAAGAAGCUCCGGCUAAAUACGUGCCAGCCGCCGCCGUAA